GCCGGGAUGGCGGAACUGGUAGACGCGCCAGACUCAAAAUCUGGUUUCCGAAAGGAAGUGGGGGUUCGAUUCCCCCUCCCGGCA
rnacentral:tRNA from 1 species